AAAAUAUAUCAGCCUGACAAAACCAAAUGCUUGACUAUUUCAACAAUCAAAAACAACAAAUGCAAUAGAACUGUCUCUGGAACAAUGGAAGGUCAAAAGGCGUCUCUUGCAAACAUCAUUCGCCAUUCAAAAUCAAACUCAAUCAAUAUAUAUAUAUACAAAUUGGAUUUACGAGACUUAGCUAAAAGAUGAGACAAUAAAAGACAGA
rnacentral:lncRNA from 1 species